rnacentral:tRNA from 1 species
GCCCUCGUAGCUCAGUGGAUAGAGCACUCGCCUCCUAAGCGAGGGGUCCCGCGUUCGAAUCGCGGCGAGGGCG